rnacentral:lncRNA from 1 species
CAGAUUCAACCACACUGCUGUUUUCCUCCAAGUUGUUAUCUUUCUCAGCUGGAGCAGGUUAGGAUGUUCCAUGGCAACAAAGUACUCCAAAAUUUGGCAGUUUGCAAACAACCAAAGUUUAUUUUCCAAUUACUCUACAUGCCCAAUAGUUGUUAGCAGGGAGUUCUGCUCCAUGGUAUUUUGUCUGAAGAGCCCACAGUGAUGGAGGAAUCUCUUAAUACCAACGUGUAUUACAUCAAACACUGGUGGACUAUCAAUACAAGCUUUGACUUAAACUUCUACCUGGGAAUCACUUCCACUCCUUUGUCUAUUUCAGCAGAAGUGAAGGCCAGUCCAAGUCUGAUGUUAGUGUCUCGGGAAAAUAUAAUUAACCCCCCUGAAGGGAAGCAGGUAGGAGCGAAUCAUAGUAAAAAUCCACCACUCCCUCAACCCCAAUAUCUUUUCUUCAUUUGAGCGAUUUCUUCUCUCUUUUUUGAAAGCUUUAUAGAUCCCUCUUAAAACAUCCAUCAGGAAACAGUGCUUAUGGACAUCAGCUUCACUGGUUCUAAAGCAAGGGUUUCACUGUUGGAAUGUGUAGUCUGACCUUGUUAGCAGAUUUCAACCCGAGACUUAAAUGAAUAACCUGGUUUUAGGACGGGCACCAUCCACAGAACUACAGGAUUUUUUGCUUGAUGGUUCCACACUUACACACAAGAGGACAACCCUCUUCACGAGAAGGACCAGAGCUCCUGUCUGCUCUCUCAGCAGCUGGAUUCCUCUAAUAAGUUACCAAAACCAGGGACCCAGUAACUACUACUCAGCCAGCCCACAGAACCUGUGCGUAUGACACCCUGGUAGUUCCCAAGGACCACAUAACUCCAUGAUGGAAACUCAGCUUGUUUCAGCAACAGUAAUGGGUUUUCUUGGACCCCUCAGCUCACCUGAAGAUGUCUCUUGGUUGGAGCUGUCCUGUCUCUGGGACAGUUGGUUCAAGACAAGAGAAAUGUCUACAGACUGUCUCAUACCAGAAUGAUGGAGCCCAAACAGGGAAAUUGGCCAGAAGCAGCAAUGGCUUCAUUGGUGAAGUGGACCAAAAGUGGACCAAAGUGAGAAGAAGAAGUUCUUACAAUGUGGCCAUUUCUUCUCAGACAUCGGACCUACUACAUCUGUUUCCUGGUUUCCCAUCCAUCCACUUCCUGUCUGUCCAGAAUUCUGUGUCAUUAUCAUUGUUUAUGACGGUCAUCAUGUACAUUUUAAAAGAACAAAUGUAAAUUAAUUAAAGUUUAUUAUUUCAAGUAUAUAUCUAUACAGUGUCUAUGCAUAAU